rnacentral:rRNA from 1 species
GGCAGCGACACUCAGGUGUUGUUGGGUAGGGGAGCGUUCUGUAAGCCUGCGAAGGUGGCCUGUGAGGGUUGCUGGAGGUAUCAGAAGUGCGAAUGCUGACAUAAGUAACGAUAAAGCGGGUGAAAAGCCCGCUCGCCGGAAGACCAAGGGUUCCUGUCCAACGUUAAUCGGGGCAGGGUGAGUCGACCCCUAAGGCGAGGCCGAAAGGCGUAGUCGAUGGGAAACGGGUUAAUAUUCCCGUACUUGGUGUUACUGCGAAGGGGGGACGGAGAAGGCUAUGUUGGCCGGGCGACGGUUGUCCCGGUUUAAGCGUGUAGGUGUGUGUUCCAGGUAAAUCCGGUU